rnacentral:rRNA from 1 species
AAUAUGUGGCAUACGGCUCAGUAACACGUAGUCAACAUGCCCAGGGGACGUGGAUAACCUCGGGAAACUGAGGAUAAACCGCGAUAGGUCAUCACUUCUGGAAUGGGUAAUGACUUAAACCUAUAUGGCCCCUGGAUUGGACUGCGGCCGAUCAGGCUGUUGGUGAGGUAAUGGCCCACCAAACCUGUAACCGGUACGGGCUCUGAGAGGAGGAGCCCGGAGAUGGGCACUGAGACAAGGGCCCAGGCCCUAUGGGGCGCAGCAGGCGCGAAACCUCUGCAAUAGGCGAAAGCUUGACAGGGUUACUCUGAGUGAUUUCCGUUAAGGAGAUCUUUUGGCACCUCUAAAAAUGGUGCAGAAUAAGGGGUGGGCAAGUCUGGUGUCAGCCGCCGCGGUAAUACCAGCACCCCGAGUGGUCGGGACGUUUAUUGGGCCUAAAGCAUCCGUAGCCGGUUCUACAAGUCUUCCGUUAAAUCCACCUGCUUAACAGAUGGGCUGCGGAAGAUACUAUAGAGCUAGGAGGCGGGAGAGGCAAGCGGUACUCGAUGGGUAGGGGUAAAAUCCGUUGAUCCAUUGAAGACCACCAGUGGCGAAGGCGGCUUGCCAGAACGCGCUCGACGGUGAGGGAUGAAAGCUGGGGGAGCAAACCGGAUUAGAUACCCGGGUAGUCCCAGCUGUAAACGAUGCAGACUCGGUG